rnacentral:tRNA from 1 species
GAGUGUAACUCAGUGGCAGAGUGUCGGCUUCCCAAGCCGGUUAUGCGGGUUCGAUUCCCGUCACUC